AAGAGUUGCAAAACUCCCUAAACCAUUGUGAACAUACCUUCAACGUUGCUUCGGCGGGUUGGCUCCGGGUCUCCCGGGGCCCCCGGCCCUACUCGGGCGCCCGCCGGAGGUAUCUAACUCUUGACAAUUGUAUGGCCUCUCUGAGUCUUUGUACUUAAUAAGUCA
rnacentral:misc_RNA from 2 species